GGACGUAGGAAAGAUGGCAGAAAAGGCGCCGAGGAAUUUCCUGGCCACCCACUCACUGGGGCGACUCUCCUGCCUGUCUACCAACAAAACCCUGAUGGAGAAAAACACAAAGGAAGAAUCUAUACAUUUGUGCAACCAUGCAGAAGAUGUGAAGGGUGGAAAGGAGGCAGCAGCUAGUACUUACGUCAAAGUGUCUGACAGAAGUCAUUGGGAGUGAAUGCAGCAGCGCGGGGGCCUGCGAGCCGACUGGUUUCUUUCUGGCAGUGGGGACGGGUGUCUAAUGGGUCAAUAAUAAGCCGUGACUAACCGUCUCCCUGAGGAGCAGCUUGGCCAGACACACACUCACAAGAAAGCAGCAGAAAGCAAUCACACAGGCAACUUCAGCUGCAAGAGGAGGAAGAAGAGCAGAGAUCAGCUGGCUGUUCAUCCAUCCAUCCAUCCAUCCAUCCUGCAGAAGACUGCUG